GUCGAACGGUAACAGAACUAGCUUGCUAGUUGCUGACGAGUGGCGGACGGGUGAGUAACGCGUAGGAAUCUACCGAGUAGUGGGGGACAACAGUUGGAAACGACUGCUAAUACCGCAUAAUCCCUGAGGGGGAAAGGAGGGGAUCUGUUUACAGACCUUUCGCUAUUUGAUGAGCCUGCGUGAGAUUAGCUAGUUGGUGAGGUAAUGGCUCACCAAGGCGACGAUCUCUAGCUGGUCUGAGAGGAUGAUCAGCCACACUGGAACUGAGACACGGUCCAGACUCCUACGGGAGGCAGCAGUGGGGAAUAUUGCACAAUGGGGGAAACCCUGAUGCAGCCAUGCCGCGUGUGUGAAGAAGGCCUUCGGGUUGUAAAGCACUUUCAGCGAGGAGGAAAGGAGUAUGUUUAAUAAACGUGCUCUGUGACGUUACUCGCAGAAGAAGCACCGG
rnacentral:rRNA from 1 species